rnacentral:lncRNA from 10 species
GCGGGCCCCUGUACCCAUCAUUAGUCCUCAAAAUCCCUCAGGACACUGUUAAACUGCCUCUUAGCUUCCUCUCUUCUUCCUCUUUCUGCACCCCUGCCCCAUGGCCCAACUUUUAGUCCAGAGCUCGGCACCCUCCUCUGCCCGUCUGAGCCACAAGCAGGAUGAAGCAGGACCUGUGGGGGAUGUUGGCAGACCUAAGCUUUAGGCAUAGGAGAAGGAAAAUAGGGCAAGGAGGCAGGGAGGAAAAGUCUUAGAGGAGAGAGGACAGGUAAGAGGCACUGAUGACAGAGGGUAGGAUGUGGUGGCUGUUCUCUAGGGCGUCCCCACUAGUCCCCCUCCCUGCUGAAAGGAUGGAGACACAGACAAGAUAUGGAAAACCUCCACUCAUCACCUCUCCACUCUGGGGUGAGAGGAGUGAAUCUAGUUUGGUGAAUGCCAGAGGGUCCUUUCCUUGAGGGUCUCCUCUACUCAGUUCCUUAGUUCAGGAGCUACCAAGAAGGCUUAGUUAUUAAGGGACUCUAAGGGGCCACCUAAGGAAAAGGUGCUUCCCUGGCAAAUGCUGGCUGCUGACUGUGCAUUGGAGCCAGGUGCUGGUAUCUACACCUGUUAGGAAUGUCAUAGCCUUGACUUUUGCCUUGGCCCUAGGACUAUCCAUCCCUUGCCUUGCUUGGAGAGAAAUUGGCAGAGAACAACAUCAACCUCAUCUUUGCAGUGACAAAAAACCAUUAUAUGCUGUACAAGAGCUUUAUGCCUGAGCCUGCAGACUAUAGGAGACCAGUGGGCUAGUCUGGCGCAGAAAUUCCCAAAGAAACCAAUAAAUGUCCUGAGUGAAUACAGCAGUCUGCAUAUGGAUCUGUUCCAUUUAAAGAAACUGUUCCUGGGUCACCCUGGACUGCCGCAUUUAGUCUGGGGCAGGAAUUCCCAAAGAAACCAAUAAGUGUCCUGAGUGAAUAGAGCAGUCUGGGUAUGGAUCUGUUCCGUCUAAAGAAACUGUUCCUGGGUCACCCUGGACCAUCUUCAAAAACUCCCCACAUGAACGUGCUCCUUCUCACAAUCACAGAUGAGCCAAGUUUGAAUUACAGAUCUCCUCGGUGUGCUCAUGUAAGCUAAAUGUAAACUCGUCUCUGAGAUUCUUUUACGUGAUGAAGCAAUGAGAACUUAAUCUGGAAUCCCUCUCCACCCUCCACCCCCAGAACAGCUGGCCAUAGUUCCCUCUCCUUCUUGCUCUUGAAUGUCCACAAAAGAACCUUUGUCUGAUUGUGUUUUUCUAUUGCUCCUGCCUGAGAUUAUCACUGAUAAAAUGCCACUUAUAUUUUCUUGAGUUCUUUAUCCUCCUUUAGUUCAAAUCAAUGUUAGAAGAUGAAACAAGGGAAAAGGAUUGUUUUUCUUUUUUUGUUUAGUGGAAGAUAGCAGGAUAAAGCCUAUUCAGGGCGUGGUGGUGUGUGCCUACAAUCCCAGCUACCGGGGAGGCUGAGGCAGGAGAAUCUCUUGAACCCAGGGGGCAGAGGUUGCCGUGAACCAAGAUUGCACAAUUGCACUCCAGCCUGGGGGACAGAGUGAGAUUCUGUCGC